UAGCUAGUUGGUGAGGUAAAGGCUUACCAAGGCGACGAUCUGUAGCGGGUCUGAGAGGAUGAUCCGCCACACUGGAACUGAGACACGGUCCAGACUCCUACGGGAGGCAGCAGUGGGGAAUUUUGGACAAUGGGGGCAACCCUGAUCCAGCCAUGCCGCGUGAGUGAAGAAGGCCUUCGGGUUGUAAAGCUCUUUCGGCCGGGAAGAAAUCGCAUGGGUCAAUACCCUGUGUGGAUGACGGUACCGGAAUAAGAAGCACCGGCUAACUACGUGCCAGCAGCCGCGGUAAUACGUAGGGUGCGAGCGUUAAUCGGAAUUACUGGGCGUAAAGCGUGCGCAGGCGGUUUUGUAAGACAGGCGUGAAAUCCCCGGGCUUAACCUGGGAACUGCGUUUGUGACUGCAAGGCUAGAGUACGGCAGAGGGGGGUGGAAUUCCACGUGUAGCAGUGAAAUGCGUAGAGAUGUGGAGGAACACCAAUGGCGAAGGCAGCCCCCUGGGUCGAUACUGACGCUCAUGCACGAAAGCGUGGGUAGCAAACAGGAUUAGAUACCCUGGUAGUCCACGCCCUAAACUAUGUCAACUAGGUGUUGGGUGGGUAAAACCAUUUAGUACCGUAGCUAACGCGUGAAGUUGACCGCCUGGGGAGUACGGCCGCAAGGUUAAAACUCAAAGGAAUUGACGGGGACCCGCACAAGCGGUGGAUGAUGUGGAUUAAUUCGAUGCAACGCGAAAAACCUUACCUACCCUUGACAUGCCAGGAACUUGCCAGAGAUGGCUUGGUGCCCGAAAGGGAGCCUGGACACAGGUGCUGCAUGGCUGUCGUCAGCUCGUGUCGUGAGAUGUUGGGUUAAGUCCCGCAACGAGCGCAACCCUUGUCGUUAAUUGCCAUCAUUUGGUUGGGCACUUUAACGAGACUGCCGGUGACAAACCGGAGGAAGGUGGGGAUGACGUCAAGUCCUCAUGGCCCUUAUGGGUAGGGCUUCACACGUCAUACAAUGGUCGGUACAAAGGGUUGCCAAGCCGCGAGGCGGAGCCAAUCCCAGAAAGCCGAUCGUAGUCCGGAUUGCAGGCUGCAACUCGCCUGCAUGAAGUCGGAAUCGCUAGUAAUCGUGGAUCAGCAUGUCACGGUGAAUACGUUCCCGGGUCUUGUACACACCGCCCGUCACACCAUGGGAGCGGGUUCCGCCAGAAGUAGGUAGCCUAACCGCAAGGGGGGCGCUUACCACGGCGGGGUUCGUGACUGGGGUGAAGUCGAAACAAGGUAGCCGUAGGGGAACCUGCGGCUG
rnacentral:rRNA from 1 species